rnacentral:rRNA from 1 species
AUUGAACGCUGGCGGCAUGCCUUACACAUGCAAGUCGAACGGUAACAGGCCGCAAGGUGCUGACGAGUGGCGAACGGGUGAGUAAUGCAUCGGAACGUGCCCAGUCGUGGGGGAUAACUACUCGAAAGAGUAGCUAAUACCGCAUACGAUCUAUGGAUGAAAGCGGGGGACCGUAAGGCCUCGCGCGAUUGGAGCGGCCGAUGUCAGAUUAGGUAGUUGGUGGGGUAAAGGCUCACCAAGCCAACGAUCUGUAGCUGGUCUGAGAGGACGACCAGCCACACUGGGACUGAGACACGGCCCAGACUCCUACGGGAGGCAGCAGUGGGGAAUUUUGGACAAUGGGCGCAAGCCUGAUCCAGCAAUGCCGCGUGCAGGAAGAAGGCCUUCGGGUUGUAAACUGCUUUUGUACGGAACGAAACGGCUCUGGUUAAUACCCGGGGCUAAUGACGGUACCGGAAGAAUAAGCACCGGCUAACUACGUG